GAUGAACGCUGGCGGCGUGCCUAAUACAUGCAAGUCGAGCGAAUGGAUUAAGAGCUUGCUCUUAUGAAGUUAGCGGCGGACGGGUGAGUAACACGUGGGUAACCUGCCCAUAAGACUGGGAUAACUCCGGGAAACCGGGGCUAAUACCGGAUAACAUUUUGAACCGCAUGGUUCGAAAUUGAAAGGCGGCUUCGGCUGUCACUUAUGGAUGGACCCGCGUCGCAUUAGCGAGUUGGUGAGGUAACGGCUCACCAAGGCAACGAGGCGUAGCCGACCUGGGAGGGUGAUCGGCCACACUGGGACUGAGACACGGCCCAGACUCCUACGGGAGGCAGCAGUAGGGAAUCUUCCGCAAUGGACGAAAGUCUGACGGAGCAACGCCGCGUGAGUGAUGAAGGCUUUCGGGUCGUAAAACUCUGUUGUUAGGGAAGAACAAGUGCUAGUUGAAUAAGCUGGCACCUUGACGGUACCUAACCAGAAAGCCACGGCUAACUACGUGCCAGCCGCCGCCGUAA
rnacentral:rRNA from 1 species